rnacentral:misc_RNA from 1 species
GAUGAAGAACGUAGCGAAAUGCGAUAAGUAAUGUGAAUUGCAGAAUUCAGUGAAUCAUCGAAUCUUUGAACGCACAUUGCGCCCGCCAGUAUUCUGGCGGGCAUGCCUGUUCGAGCGUCAUUACAACCCUCAGGCCCCCGGGCCUGGCGUUGGGGAUCGGCGGAAGCCCCCUGCGGGCACAACGCCGUCCCCCAAAUACAGUGGCGGUCCCGCCGCAGCUUCCAUUGCGUAGUAGCAAACACCUCGCAACUGGAGAGCGGCGCGGCCACGCCGUAAAACACCCAACUUCUGAAUGUUGACCUCGAAUCAGGUAGGAAUACCCGCUGAACUUAAGCAUAUCAAUAAGCGGAGGA